AUUGAACGCUGGCGGCAUGCCUUACACAUGCAAGUCGAACGGCAGCACGGGGGCAACCCUGGUGGCGAGUGGCGAACGGGUGAGUAACAUAUCGGAACGUGCCCUGGAGUGGGGGAUAACUAGUCGAAAGAUUAGCUAAUACCGCAUACGAUCUACGGAUGAAAGUGGGGGAUCGCAAGACCUCAUGCUCGUGGAGCGGCCGAUAUCUGAUUAGCUAGUUGGUGGGGUAAAGGCCUACCAAGGCAUCGAUCAGUAGCUGGUCUGAGAGGACGACCAGCCACACUGGGACUGAGACACGGCCCAGACUCCUACGGGAGGCAGCAGUGGGGAAUUUUGGACAAUGGGCGCAAGCCUGAUCCAGCAAUGCCGCGUGAGUGAAGAAGGCCUUCGGGUUGUAAAGCUCUUUUGUCAGGGAAGAAACGGUGAGGGCUAAUAUCCUUUGCUAAUGACGGUACCUGAAGAAUAAGCACCGGCUAACUACGUGCCAGCAGCCGCGGUAAUACGUAGGGUGCAAGCGUUAAUCGGAAUUACUGGGCGUAAAGCGUGCGCAGGCGGUUGUGCAAGACCGAUGUGAAAUCCCCGGGCUUAACCUGGGAAUGGCAUUGGUGACUGCACGGCUAGAGUGUGUCAGAGGGGGGUAGAAUUCCACGUGUAGCAGUGAAAUGCGUAGAGAUGUGGAGGAAUACCGAUGGCGAAGGCAGCCCCCUGGGAUAACACUGACGCUCAUGCACGAAAGCGUGGGGAGCAAACAGGAUUAGAUACCCUGGUAGUCCACGCCCUAAACGAUGUCAACUAGUUGUCGGGUCUUAAUUGACUUGGUAACGCAGCUAACGCGUGAAGUUGACCGCCUGGGGAGUACGGUCGCAAGAUUAAAACUCAAAGGGAUUGACGGGGACCCGCACAAGCAGUGGAUGACGUGGAUUAAUUCGAUGCAACGCGAAAAACCUUACCUACCCUUGACAUGGCAGGAAUCCCGGAGAGAUUCGGGGGUGCUCGAAAGAGAACCUGCACACAGGUGCUGCAUGGCUGUCGUCAGCUCGUGUCGUGAGAUGUUGGGUUAAGUCCCGCAACGAGCGCAACCCUUGUCAUUAGUUGCUACGAAAGGGCACUCUAAUGAGACUGCCGGUGACAAACCGGAGGAAGGUGGGGAUGACGUCAAGUCCUCAUGGCCCUUAUGGGUAGGGCUUCACACGUCAUACAAUGGUACAUACAGAGGGCCGCCAACCCGCGAGGGGGAGCUAAUCCCAGAAAGUGUAUCGUAGUCCGGAUUGCAGUCUGCAACUCGACUGCAUGAAGUUGGAAUCGCUAGUAAUCGCGGAUCAGCAUGUCGCGGUGAAUACGUUCCCGGGUCU
rnacentral:rRNA from 1 species